ACUGAAUCAUAAUAUACUAGAUUGUGAACGUUAUCCUUGCUGUAGCGUUUGAAGACAUUGCUUUUUAUUUCCGCAAAAUUGUUUGAUACAAGCAAAGCAAAUAAUGCAUUGUUGUGGGCAACUAUACAGGUUGACAAAGUGAUGGCUUGAGCUAGCAGGAUGAAAGAAUGAACAAUUGAUGAAGCAACAGCUACAACUUCAUCCACAAUAAAUCUUCUAACCCAAUAUUGCGUAUUUUCCGUUGAGCUAUUUGCAAGCCCUUCUGCUGUAUUAAAGAGUGUCUGCAUCACAUCUCCACCAAAGCUUUGGAACAGUUUAUCAAAAACCUCCAACACAUUG
rnacentral:misc_RNA from 1 species